rnacentral:rRNA from 1 species
CCCUUAGAUGUCCUGGGCCGCACGCGCGCUACACUGAUGCAUGCAACGAGUUUAUAACCUUGGCCUGAAAGGUCUGGGUAAUCUUUUGAACGUGCAUCGUGAUAGGGAUAGAUUAUUGCAAUUGUUAAUCUUGAACUAGGAAUUCCUAGUAAACGCGAGUCAUCAGCUCGCAUUGAUUACGUCCCUGCCCUUUGUACACACCGCCCGUCGCACCUACCGAUUGAAUGGUUCGGUGAAGAUCUCGGACUUCGAUAUUUAUUCUUUAUUGAGUUUAUAUUGUGGGAAGUUAUCUAAACCUCAUCAUUUAGAGGAAGGUGAAGUCGUAACA